UGCCUAAAGACGAGCUCGCGCCUGAUUAGCUAGUUGGUGGGGUAAAGGCCUACCAAGGCGACGAUCAGUAGCUGGUUUGAGAGAAUGAUCAGCCACACUGGAACUGAGACACGGUCCAGACUCCUGCGGGAGGCAGCAGUGGGGAAUUUUCCGCAAUGGGCGAAAGCCUGACGGAGCAAUACCGCGUGAGGGAUUAAGGCCUGUGGGUUGUAAACCUCUUUUCUCAAGGAAGAAUUCUGACGGUACUUGAGGAAUAAGCAUCGGCUAACUCCGUGCCAGCAGCCGCGGUAAUACGGGGGAUGCAAGCGUUAUCCGGAAUUAUUGGGCGUAAAGCGUCUGUAGGUUGUUUAAUAAGUCAGUUGUUAAAGACUGGGGCUUAACCCCAGGAAAGCAAUUGAAACUGUUAGGCUAGAGUAUGGUAGAGGUAGAGGGAAUUCCUAGUGUAGCGGUGAAAUGCGUAGAUAUUAGGAAGAACACCGGUGGCGAAAGCGCUCUGCUGGGCCAUAACUGACACUCAGAGACGAAAGCUAGGGUAGCAAAUGGGAUUAGAUACCCCAGUAGUCCUAGCCGUAAACGAUGGAUACUAGAUGUUGCGUAUUUAUAUGCAGUGUUGUAGCUAACGCGUUAAGUAUCCCGCCUGGGGAGUACACUCGCAAGGGUGAAACUCAAAGGAAUUGACGGGGGCCCGCACAAGCGGUGGAGCAUGUGGUUUAAUUUGAUGCAACGCGAAGAACCUUACCAAGGCUUGACAUGUCACGAAUCUUUUUGAGAAAAAAGAGUGCCUUCGGGAACGUGAACACAGGUGGUGCAUGGCUGUCGUCAGCUCGUGUCGUGAGAUGUUGGGUUAAGUCCCGCAACGAGCGCAACCCUUGUCUUUAGUUACCAUCAUUCAGUUGGGGACUCUAGAGAGACUGCCGGUGACAAACCGGAGGAAGGUGAGGACGACGUCAAGUCAGCAUGCCCCUUAUGCCUUGGGCUACACACGUGCUACAAUGAUUAAGACAAAGAGCAGCAAGCUUGUGAAAGUUAGCAAAUCUCAUAAACUU
rnacentral:rRNA from 1 species